UACGUAGGGUGCAAGCGUUGUCCGGAAUUAUUGGGCGUAAAGAGCUCGUAGGCGGUUUGUCGCGUCUGCUGUGAAAACCCGAGGCUCAACCUCGGGCCUGCAGUGGGUACGGGCAGACUAGAGUGUGGUAGGGGAGACUGGAAUUCCUGGUGUAGCGGUGGAAUGCGCAGAUAUCAGGAGGAACACCGAUGGCGAAGGCAGGUCUCUGGGCCAUUACUGACGCUGAGAAGCGAAAGCAUGGGGAGCGAACAGG
rnacentral:rRNA from 1 species